ensembl:lncRNA uncharacterized LOC107551094
CACAUUUGAAAGUAGCUACUAGUUUAUUUUACUACAUUAACACAGUAAACAGAUGCCGAUUUUGUGUUAACAUGCAUGAAGCGCACAUUCAUGUGGCAUCACGUGACGUAGUUUUGCAUGUUAUGUAUCAUGUACUUCCGGUGAGGUUUUGUAACAAUGAUUGUGCGCUGAUGUAAUUAUUCACAGUUGCACAAUAAAGACUGGGUUUGUUCGUUCAUUGCAGCGGAUCUCAUUAUUUACAAUGACUGAGGUCAGGCGGGCCGUCUCUGAAGCGCUGUGGGGAAUGUGUGCAGCGGAUGCCAUGUCGAUGCCCGUCCACUGGUACUACAACACCCAAGACAUCAGGAGGGACUUCAUUGGCUGGAUCACUGGAUUCAAUGCGCCGCGGGGCAGACACCCAUCCAGCAUCCUAAGCCUGUCCAGCACAGGUCGUACAGCUGAAAUACUGCUGGUACUGCUUUACUGAUGCUUGCAUGUAAUCAUGCUGUGUGUGAUUAUUGUGUAGCUGGCAGUGGACGCAGAGCCGGAUCAACCGGAACCGCAGCUCAUGUCGUGGGGAACGUGAUUCUGCAUGAUAAGCUGAAGUUCUGGACGGAUCCACGUGGAUCAGUGCACUACCAUCAGGGUCUUCACGCGGGUGGAAACACGCUGAACACUCUCUGUGCUCUGAGAGUUGCGCGCAUUCUGUCCACCGGUGCUUUCGUUAGUAUGGCUGAUCCUGAAGCACGAGCCGCCGUACUGUCGGAUUACACUGAGUUCAUGACACGUCCCGGCUCACACAACGACACGUACGCCGAGUCCUUCCAUAGAAGCUUCUUCUCUGACUGGCAGGAACUCAGACCUACGUCCUCUAGAGAGGUUCUGGAGUUUGCAGAGCAGCGCUCCAAAUGCAUGUUGAGCACAUCCCGUGCUGACAGUCAGCUAAAUGCUAUAGGAUGUCUUCCCAUGGCCAUUCCCUUUGUCCUGCUGUCUGCCACAGCCAAUGAGGAGGAAGCAGUUUCUGCAGCGGUGGAUUUUGUGAAGCUCACUCAUCCUCAUCCAGCGCUGGAGCCGCUGGUGUCUCUGUACAUGCGAGCGCUUCACGCCACACUGAACGGAGCAUGUCUGAAACGACAGGCGGAGACGGCGCUCAAAUCACCCGUGCUGGACGCCUGGGACGUGUGUCAACACUUUAUACAGUGCGCAGAGAGGAUUCCAGGAUCAUCAGUGGAGCGUCUGAAGGUUCAUCAGAGCGCUGUGGAGUCUCUCGGAAUCGCCUGCUACACACAAGGAGCUCUCAGCAGUCUCUUCUACCUGGCCUACAGCUUUCAUAAUGACGUGACGGGGGGAAUCCUGACCAACACCAACUGUGGAGGUGAGAACUGUAACCGUGGGGCAGCGUUGGGGGCUCUUCUUGGGGCCCGGGCGGUGUAUCUCGGCUCAGUCGUACCACAGGAGUGGAAGGACGGACUGGUUGAAGCUCAGGGGCGAAUCAGUGACAUCCUGCAGGAGCUGAACAGAUCCACAUCAGUCUGAUGUUCUUCUGCUUGUGAACUUCCUCCUGCACUGCUGUGUUGUUUAGCUCUUCCCUUGACUCUUCGUAUGUCUUUCUGUCUGCUGUGUUUAUUCACACACACACACACACUCAAGCAUGUGCUGCUGCCACAGGAAACGGUGCCCACAGAUGUGGUUUCCAGCCUGCACUGUGGAAGACUUUCCUCUCGUCUGUAUACCUUCAGUCACACUGUGACCUACUUGCAUAAUUCUCGUAUUAGAACUUCAUCUGUUAUAGAUUGAGUAAAUGUUAAUCAGACAGUUCAUGCUUUAAAGAUUCUCAUUAGAAUGUGUUUGAGACAUAAACUUACAAGUUGAUGUAUUGCAGAAUAUGUGACUGCAGAAGCAGCAUACUAAACGCUCUUGAGGACACUCAUUUCAGAGUUUGAAACAAAAAUAUAUAAUAUAUAAAUAUAAUAUUUUUCUUAUCUUGUUUUUAACUAUU